rnacentral:lncRNA from 1 species
AUGAAUAAAACUAUAUCUUGCUUCUCCAUAACUGGAUAGAAGUAAUUUAUAAUUUUGAACCAAAAGACGAAAAAGUGAUAAAUCAUCUAACGAAACAUUGUUAAUGGACACAACAAGAAUCUGAGUAUCCGAUUCGAAAAAAACUCGAUCCCAUCCGCACUCUUUAAUCCAGCUCAACGUCUCUCGAAAAGCCAUUACUUCAGCACACUUAACCUCCAUCUGACUGCAAAAACAGCUUGCUUUAGCCGCCAUAAAUCUACCAUUAGCAUCUCGGACUACACAGCCGAAACCUAGUGAACUUCAUUGCGAGUUUAAAGAGACAUCAAUAUUAACUUUAAUCCAACUGUUAAAAAUAAUAAAAAAAUUUUAAUAUAGAAAAAUUAAUUAAUAAAUUUUUAUAAAAUUAAUAGAUUAAUUAAUAACUUUUUAAAUCAGAAAAAUAAAUAAAUAUUUAAUAAUUAAAAUUAAUGAAAUAAUUAAUUAAUAUAUUUUUAAAAAUUUUCAAAAUAUUUUAAUAUAUAUUUUAAAAUAAAAAAAAUUAAUUAAUAAAUUUUUUCAUAACAUAAAAAUUAAAUAAUAAAUUUUUCUUGAAAAUUUUGUUGAAUUGUAUUAGGAUCAAGACAAGAGCAUAAUUGCGCGCGUACUUAAAAAAAAAAAAAAAAAGAAAGAAAGAGUUUAACACAGUAUUGCAACGAUAGAGAUUAGAAUUUUUUUUUUUUUUCUGCAAGAUAUUAGUUUGCAUUAAAAAAGCGUCGGUCUAGUCUAAGGAAGCCCCAAAAUUUGAUUAUAGAUUAAAAGGAAAUGAAGAUCAUAAUAGAAAAUUUCUGCCCAUGACCUAUCCCAUAAAUCCUAAUAGCUAGGCAAAGCAACCUGCCACUGCAACAACACUCCGGUGAAGGAACAAUACCAUUGAGCUCACAACAUCAAUGAGAAGGAGCAAAGCUUCUUUAGAAAAGACUCAUGCCCACAAGGAAGCAUAGAUAGUACCAGAUUCACUACCAAACACAACUCAAGCCUAGAGAGCAUUCAUCAAUGAAGUUGAAGCUAAACACCUAAUAAAAAAUAAGGAGUCUCCGCCAAACAACAUGCUAAGCAUUACAUGCACAAAGGAUCUAACUAGAGAAGCAAACCAAGCCAGAAAUUAUUACUGAUGCUUUGGGGGGUGAACCAAGAAAUGCUUUAAACACUCCCUUGCAUCUAAGAGGUCAUCCCUCCAGAAAGGAAAGUUGCUAAAAAACUCAGAGGUGCUAUGGCUCAGAAACAUAUCUCAUCUUCCCAAAGCAGGAAAUCCAAAAGGAAACAAAUGAAGCUCAAGACGAUGAAAGGAACCUAUAAUACAAAUAUGCGAAGCCAAAACUAACACAAACUACACAAAACCCAAAAAACCAAGCUAGGUAGUCAAAAGAUUCUCUGUGACCAAAGCCUCACUGCCUCAAGUAAACAAAAACAGCCUCAAGUAAACAAAAACAACGACAAACAGCUAUCUACACCCCAAUCUAGUAGUAGGGAGAGGAAAUUCAUUAUCAAACCAGAUGAAGAAAAGCAUUUCCCUAACCAGAGUAGGGAUGUGCAAUCCGUCGGUUCAGUUCCGUUCCGAACUGAAUUGUAAAAAAUCAAAAAAUCAAAAAUAAUUUUUUUAAAGAAUUGAACUGAAUUAUAAAAAAAAAUCAAAUUCAACUAAAUUGAAAAAAAAUAUUCUGUUCGAUUAUAACCAAUCAGUUCCAAAGCAAGAAUUUUUCAAAUCGAUUUUAUCACCCAAAUGCAUCCAUAAUCCCAAUUCCCAACAUCAUACGCCAAACACAAUAGUCAAUUAAUUGAGCAAAACACGAUCUCAAUUUACAGAUUUAAUACAAACAUAUCGAACUCGUUAAAAUUACAUUGAAAUUGAAGGAAUAAUAAAUGACUGCACCUAAACUUCAACAACUCAUUGAAACCCAAAGAAAAAAAUCUCAAUAAUUUAAAGAUUUAGAUAACAACAAUUGGUAUUUUGACAAAGAAGAAAUAGAUGGUGAGGAAUCAAAGGAAGCAUUCAUCGCAAACUUUGAAAUCUCACAUUCCAAUUCAUACACAUUAAUCAACAAUAAAAAAACCCCAACAAAUCCAAACUGCAAGAACCAACAACUAGACAUCCAAUUCUUGGUUUGUCCAUGUAUCUCGAACCUGUGCAGAUCUUAAAACCACCAUCAUCUAUAAUCUAUGGACUAGCAAAUCUUGAAUAGAACGAAGAAGAAGGUGGAAGAACAAAUAUCUAUCUCUCUAAGCACAUGAAGAUGGAGAAUCGAUACUAAGAAUCGCUUCGAGAGAGAAAGAAGAAGAAGAAAGAGGAUGAUGAGGGAAGAGACGAGAAUGGAAACGGAGAAGGAAAAGGCUGGAGAUGAGACUGAAAUUGAUGAAGAUGAAAUGGGAUUGAGUAGGGCCGUAAAUGGGCCGAGCUAUUCGUGAGUCA